rnacentral:rRNA from 1 species
UAAUACGAAGGGUGCUAGCGUUGUUCGGAAUCACUGGGCGUAAAGCGCGCGUAGGCGGCUUUUCAAGUCAGGGGUGAAAUCCUGGGGCUUAACCCCAGAAUUGCCUUUGAAACUGUAAAGCUAGAGUGUCGGAGGGGAUAGCGGAAUUUCCAAUGUAGCGGUGAAAUGCGUAGAUAUUGGAAGGAACACCGGUGGCGAAGGCGGCUAUCUGGACGACAACUGACGCUGAGGCGCGAAAGCGCGGGGAUCAAACAGG